AUUGAACGCUGGCGGCAGGCCUAACACAUGCAAGUCGAACGAGUGGCGGACGGGUGAGUAAUGUCUGGGAAACUGCCCGAUGGAGGGGGAUAACUACUGGAAACGGAAGCUAAUAACGCAUACCAUCGGAUGUGCCCAGAUGGGAUUAGCUAGUAGGUGGGGUAAUGGCUCACCUAGGCGGCGAUCCCUAGCUGGUCUGAGAGGCUGACCGGCCACACUGGAACUGGUACACGGUCCAGCAUCCUCCGGGAGGCAGCGUUGGGGAAUUUUGCACAAGGGGCGCAAUCCUGAUGCAGCCAUGCCGCGUGUAUGUAGCAGGCCUUCGGGUUGUAAAGUACUUUAAGCGAGGAGGCGUUACUCGCAGAAGAAGCACCGGCUAACUCCGUGCCAGCAGCCGCGGUAAUUC
rnacentral:rRNA from 1 species